rnacentral:lncRNA from 1 species
GCCAUCAAAACAUAAGAACUUCAUCAUCUCAUUCCUCACUACCCACAGACAUCUUAAAACCCUUGAGCAAAAAGCACUAAACAACUUAUCAAUAACAGGGCAAUAAUUAGCAGAACCAAGAAGAAGCUUCACACUCAUGUAACACAAUAAUAGCAAAACAAACAGGGACAGUAUAAGUACAAUUGUAAAAAUUAUCCUAAAUUAGAGAACACGAAACACUUACGUAAACCAAUUUUACUAAAGGAAAUUACAGAUCCAAAUGAAUAAUGAUUAAAGACCAGGAGGUGAAACCCUAACUGCUUAACGCCACAUAGCAACCUUAUUUGUGUGUGCGCGUUGUGGUGUAAAUACUCAAGACCAGUGUAUCAGUAAAUGAGAAUACCUGGAGAGAAUAUUCCGAAAGCUAUACCGCGGCGGCGAUGAAAAGAGAGUGAAAGACCGUUUGGCGUUUAGGGCAACAGUCACUUUUGUUUUCAAGCAUAGGGCAAAUCUUAGAAUAGGAACCAUUAUUUAUAGGGCAGAUCCCUGGUUUCUAAAACGAAAACCUUUUUUUUCUUUUUCCUUUUUUCUUUCAUUCUUACCUUCUCAUAAGUGUAGCCCUUGUUUGAGC